UACGAGGGGGGCAAGCGUUGUUCGGAAUUACUGGGCGUAAAGGGCGCGUAGGCGGCCUGCUAAGUCGGAUGUGAAAUCCCUCGGCUCAACCGAGGAACUGCAUCCGAUACUGGCGGGCUUGAAUCCGGGAGAGGGAUGUGGAAUUCCAGGUGUAGCGGUGAAAUGCGUAGAUAUCUGGAGGAACACCGGUGGCGAAGGCGGCAUCCUGGACCGGUAUUGACGCUGAGGCGCGAAAGCUAGGGGAGCAAACGGG
rnacentral:rRNA from 1 species